AAUGAACGCUGGCGGCGUGCUUAACACAUGCAAGUCGAACGAGAAUUCUUUAGCUUGCUAAAGAUAGUAAAGUGGCGCACGGGUGAGUAACGCGUGGGUAAUCUACCUUCGAAUUGGGAAUAACCCCGCGAAAGCGGGGCUAAUACCGGAUAAUAUCUUUAAAAUUUCGAUUUUCAAGAUCAAAGGUGGCCUCUACAUGUAAGCUACCAUUUGAAGAUGAGCCCGCGUACCAUUAGCUUGUUGGUAGAGUAAUGGCCUACCAAGGCUACGAUGGUUAGCUGGUCUGAGAGGAUGAUCAGCCACACUGGAACUGACACACGGUCCAGACUCCUACGGGAGGCAGCAGUGAGGAAUUUUGCGCAAUGGGGGAAACCCUGACGCAGCAACGCCGCGUGAGUGAUGAAGGCUUUCGGGUCGUAAAGCUCUGUCAAGUGGGAAGAACUUAUUUGAUGCUAAUAUCAUCAAAUAUUGACGGUACCACUGAAGAAGCACCGCUAACU
rnacentral:rRNA from 1 species